rnacentral:rRNA from 1 species
AUACGGAGGGUGCAAGCGUUGUUCGGAAUCACUGGGCGUAAAGGGCGCGCAGGCGGUUUGGUAAGUCAGAUGUGAAAGCCCACGGCUCAACCGUGGAAGUGCAUUUGAAACUGUCAGACUUGAGUACUAGAGGGGAAAGUGGAAUUCCCGGUGUAGAGGUGAAAUUCGUAGAUAUCGGGAGGAAUACCGGUGGCGAAGGCGACUUUCUGGCUAGAUGCUGACGCUGAGGCGCGAAAGCGUGGGGAGCAAACAGGAUUAGAAACCCUGGUAGUCC